rnacentral:tRNA from 1 species
GCCGGGAUGGCGGAAUGGUAGACGCAUUCGACUUAAAAUCGAACGGGCAACCGUGCGGGUUCAAGUCCCGCUCUCGGCACCA